GCCUAGGGGAGGAGAGUGACGAGAAACUUGCACCCUCUGAGAGCCAGCCAGACAGGCGAGCCUGGAUCUUAGUGAGAGAGGGAGAGAGAAAGGCCAUUCUGUCUGUAUCCCCAGGCUGAGGGCUCACACACAGAGGGACGAUGAGGCUAGGCUGGGUUCGAGGGCUGGCUUCUUUGCUGGCCAUGGGUGCUGGAAUACUCUACAUCACAUCCAUUAAGCGGGAGGUUCAUUCUCAUGGGGAAAGACUGCAGAGGGCCCAUCAGGAUGACUCGGUCAGGAGCCAGGACAUGCUCAAGAGGCUGGAGAAGAUGGAGUCUCACAUUGAGAAGUGAAGUCAAUCAACAACAGGAUCAGUCUGAAAGAGGGGCAAGCUGUGAAGGCUACCGAGGUCAAAAAGGAGAGGAAGGUGGUGAAGAAGUUGUACCCCAACUCAGCUCUGUUUACAACCUGGGUUGAUGAGCUCUCAGAGGAGGAGCAGAAAGAGGCAGAGGGGCUGUUUCAGAUGUAUGGAUACAACGCCUUCCUGAGUGACAGACUACCCCUGAACAGGGAAAUCCCUGAUACUCGCGAUCCUAAGUAAAUCCUUUUCCUCAUCUCUAUGCCACCUCUACACAAAAAAUUAUGGAUAACUCAAGACUUCUCAACUCUAACCAGUCUGUUCCAUUGUGCUCAUCCGAGGUCAAUUCCAUCUCCAGUACUUUUAAUGCAAUUUGACGAAUGACACUGAAAUGGAUUAACUUUAAGAGUGACACAGCAACGUUGGUGAAGUGACUGAAUGAUAUGAGGUGGACCAAAUGUUUUUGUUGUGUGCUAAUCACCAGUACCCCCAUGACCUGCCCACCAUCAGCGUGGUGUUGAUCUACUUGGACGAGGCCCUGUCAAUCAUCAAGAGAGCUGUCCGCAGCAUCAUAGACAAGACCCCCCCAACGCCUGCUUAAAGACAUCAUACUGGUGGGUGACCACAGCUCCA
rnacentral:lncRNA from 1 species